AGAAUUGAACAUCAAAAUAAAAAAAGAAGCAAAUCCAKUGAUGAUAUAUAAAAUAAAAAAACUUAUGACCCAAAAGCACAUAAUGGCGCAAAAUCAAGAACCAGAAUUAUUGUUCUUAGGUAUCUCGAUUAACAUGGUGGACAAGGUAUGAUAAAGACACCUCUGAUGAUACUCUUCCAACUGAGAAAGUCGRGGAAACUGAAGAAGUCGAAUUAAAUAUAAUACCAUCGAAAGAAGUCAACGGAAGCGGUGAAGAGAGACUGCCGAUUACUGAAAUAGAAUUUGGUCGACCAUCUUAUUUUUCAAUGUUUGUCGACUGGUUUUGCGGCUACAAAGAAGAUAGCGUUGAAGCCAUCCAARCACAAAAGGAACAUCAAGAAAAAAUGGCUAUACUCACUUCAUUGAAGCAAGACCCCAAAGCAAAAAUCUUUCUCUACGUCAAUGUGGUUAUUAGUAUAAUAAUAGGACUCGCUAUUUAUAUUUAUUUUUCAGUUUGAUGUACGAAAUAGGGAAUACUUUUUUAUCAUAGUAAUGUCUUUCCAGGUCUUUCCAACAUUUUCUCCUAUUAAACACGUUCAUGAAUUA